AAGCAACAGGGAUGUGGUCUGGAAACAAAAUCUGGUAUUGAAACGCUGGGAGACAAAACGUCCGCCUCGAGAGCGGGAGCGGCGGUUGCCUGUCGCGUACCUGUGGUCUUUUGCCUGCGCCCGGGCAUCUCGGGCCACGUCCGGCCCGGCCUCCGGCCGCGCUGCCCUAGCGGGCGUCACGGGGCAUGAAGAGCCCUGGGCGGCUGCGAGGGGAGGGGACCGGAGCAUCGCGGCGGUCGCUCGGGGCUCCCGCGCGGUGACUCUUGCUCUGCCGUCGAAGAGAACGGCCCUCGGGCGCGUCGCGGCCGCGGCUCCCGAGCCCCUGGGCCUCGCGCUCUGAGAGCCUGAGCCGCGUGAGGAGGCCAAGCGCCCACGAGCCGCAUCCCCUGCCUUGCUAGUUAGUUCUCCAACACGCGAAAAAGGUAGAUGAGGACUGGUUUUCUUUGCAGCUAAAAUUAAUCAAGCCUCGGAGCUUACAAUUGAGACUGCUAACCCCUACCUUUGAAGGGAUCAACGGAUUGUUGUUGAAACAACAUUUAGUUCAGAAUCCAAUCAGACUCUGGCAACUUUUAG
rnacentral:sRNA from 1 species